GGGCCGUUAGCUCAGUUGGCAGAGCAGCUGACUCUUAAUCAGCGGGUCGAAGGUUCGAAUCCUUCACGGCCCA
rnacentral:tRNA from 1 species